rnacentral:rRNA from 1 species
UACGUAGGGUGCGAGCGUUAAUCGGAAUUACUGGGCGUAAAGCGUGCGCAGGCGGCUUGGUGUGUCUGAUGUGAAAGCCCCGGGCUCAACCUGGGAAUGGCAUUGGAAACUGGCGAGCUAGAGUGUGGCAGAGGGGGGUGGAAUUCCGCGUGUAGCAGUGAAAUGCGUAGAGAUGCGGAGGAACACCGAUGGCGAAGGCAGCCCCCUGGGCUGACACUGACGCUCAUGCACGAAAGCGUGGGGAGCAAACAGG